rnacentral:rRNA from 1 species
AUUGAACGCUGGCGGCAGGCUUAACACAUGCAAGUCGAACGAGUGGCGGACGGGUGAGUAAUGCUUGGGAAUCUAGCUUAUGGAGGGGGAUAACUACGGGAAACUGUAGCUAAUACCGCGUACCAUAGGAUGAGCCCAAGUGGGCUUAGUUAGUUGGUGAGGUAAAGGCUCACCUAGGCGCCGAUCUCUAGCUGGUCUGAGAGGAUGAGCAGCCAAACUGGGAAUGAUACACGGCCCGUACUCUUACGGGAGGCAGCAGUGGGGAAUAUUGCACAAUGGGGGGAAGCCUGAUGCAGCAAUGCCGCGUGUAUGAAGAAGGCCUUAGGGUUGUAAAGUACUGUCGGCGGGGAGGCGUUAACCGCAGAAGAAGCACCGGCUAACUACGUGCCAGCAGCCGGGGUAAUUC